rnacentral:rRNA from 1 species
UACAGAGACUGCAAGCGUUAUUCGGAUUCACUGGGCGUAAAGGGUGCGCAGGCGGCCGAGUGUGUGAGGCGUGAAAGCCCGGGGCUUAACCCCGGAAUUGCACCUCAAACUACACGGCUAGAGCAUUGGAGAGGGUAGCAGAAUUCAUGGUGUAGCAGUGAAAUGCGUAGAUAUCUGGAGGAACACCGGUGGCGAAGGCGGCAUCCUGGACCGGCAAUUGACGCUGAGGCGCGAAAGCCAGGGGAGCAAAGCGGG